rnacentral:rRNA from 1 species
GGACUACUCGGGUAUCUAAUCCUGUUCGCUCCCCACGCUUUCGUUCAUCAGCGUCAAUAAGUACGUAGUAACCUGCCUUCGCAAUUGGUAUUCCAUGUAAUAUCUAAGCAUUUCACCGCUACACUACAUAUUCUAGUUACUUCCAUACUAUUCAAGUCAAACAGUAUCAAUGGCCGUGUCCUAGUUAAGCUAGGAAAUUUCACCACUGACUUAUCUAACCGCCUACGAACCCUUUAAACCCAAUAAUUCCGGAUAACGCUCGGAUCCUCCGUAUUACCGCGGCUGCUGGCAC